rnacentral:guide_RNA from 1 species
ACAAACAACAUUGCGAUAUAUACUCAGAGUAUAGAGAUAAUU